CAAGGAUGCCACCUGCCAUUAAAACCCAAAGGAGAAGAAGAAGCUGCAGUGUCGCUCCUCCACCGCUGGGGGUCAGAGCGUGGCGCUCGCGCGGCUCCGUCGGCUCGACUUCCGGUCGUGCUCUUCUUCUUCCUCUUCCGCUCUCCGGAUCAUCAUGGGCCGCGUCAGGACCAAGACGGUGAAGAAGGCCGCUCGGGUCAUCAUUGAGAAGUACUACACCCGGCUGGGCAGUGACUUCCACAC